GACGUAGGGUGCGAGCGUUGUCCGGAUUAUUGGGCGUAAAGAGCUCGUAGGCGGCUCGUCGCGUCGACCGUGAAAACCCGCGGCUUAACUGCGGGCUUGCGGUUGAAUACGGGCGGCUAGAGUUCGGUAGGGGAGACUGGAAUUCCUGGUGUAGCGGUGAAAUGCGCAGAUAUCAGGAGGAACACCGGCUGGCGAAGGCGGGUCUCUGGGCCGAUACUGACGCUGAGGAGCGAAAGCGGUGGGAGCGAACAGG
rnacentral:rRNA from 1 species